rfam:Triticum aestivum genome assembly, contig: Triticum_aestivum_CS42_TGACv1_scaffold_407769_5BL
AUAUUACUCCCUCCGUCUGGAAAUACUUGUCCGAGAGAUGAAUGUAUCUAGACUUAUUAUAGUUCUAGAUACAUCCAUUUUUAUCAAUUUCUCCAACAAGUAUUUCUGGACGGAGGGAGUAUAAU